GUUCUACCAGGUGGACUAGUGACCAACCCACAGAUCAUCUGAUAGGGUGCUUUGAUCAGUUGAUGGGGGUUUGAGGCUGAUCAAGGAAGUCACCUGACAGAUAGGACUGGAAGUUAUAAAAGGAUAAGGUCUGCUGAGUAGCACUCACUCACUGACUAGAACAAGAAGGCAAGAUAAUUGAGAGAACUUUAACCCCAGAGGCAGGACGUGUCCUCAGUACCACCUGACCUUCUUUGGGUUGAAUCCUUCCUUGGAUGCAUAGGCACAGAGAGAAACAGUGUACCUUUUAUAGCUGGGGUGAAUCUAGCCCAGUGCUGAAGAUUCUUCAGACUUCCUUGAAGACUUACUUGUAUAAUGGCUACUGCUUCCAGUUAGGUUUUCCCCACCACCAAGUCUUAUAAACAAGCAGUAAGGAUGAAUUAACAAAUUCUGUUUUUUAAAUGUAUCUACAGUACAGAUGAUUGUUGGCAAAUAAAAGAUGUUAACCCUUAGAAAAUAAAAAGCACACCAUGAAGAUGUUUCUGGA